rnacentral:tRNA from 1 species
GCGGAAAUAGCUCAGUUGGUAGAGCAUAACCUUGCCAAGGUUAGGGUCGCGAGUUCGAAUCUCGUUUUCCGCUCCA